CAAUCGGCUCUUUUCAGAGCCACCGCAGCAGUUCUUAAGAACAUCUU
rfam:Anopheles merus strain MAF cont2.12696, whole genome shotgun sequence.